GACCAGACUCCUACGGGAGGCAGCAGUGGGGGAUAUUGCACAAUGGGGGGAACCCUGAUGCAGCGACGCCGCGUGGGUGAAGAAGCGCCUCGGCGCGUAAAGCCCUGUCAGCAGGGAAGAAAAUGACGGUACCUGACUAAGAAGCCCCGGCUAACUACGUGCCAGCAGCCGCGGUAAUACGUAGGGGGCAAGCAUUAUCCGGAUUUACUGGGUGUAAAGGGAGCGUAGACGGCGGAACAAGUCAGAAGUGAAAACCCGGGGCUCAACCCUGGGAGUGCUUUUGAAACUGUUUGGCUGGAGUGCAGGAGAGGUAAGCGGAAUUCCUAGUGUAGCGGUGAAAUGCGUAGAUAUUAGGAGGAACACCAGUGGCGAAGGCGGCUUACUGGACUGUAACUGACGUUGAGGCUCGAAAGCGUGGGGAGCAAACAGGAUUAGAUACCCGGGUAAA
rnacentral:rRNA from 1 species